UCUGGAGAAUGACACGGCACUGCAGUCCCAGCACCAUCCUGGAGAUGUGCUGUUUGAAGUAACUAUUGAAAUCAAACCCAAGGACUGGAUUCCUCAUGGUGGACGUGAGCUCAAAAAGGGUCUUCUUGAAGCUAUGAAGAACCAUGUCCAGGAGAACCUGAAACUUUCUGCCAACAGAGUC